rnacentral:sRNA from 1 species
AAAAAAAAGAGUGAUUAAACACGAGGACUUUCCUGGAGGUCACCCAUCCUAGUACUACUCUCGCCCAAGCACUCUUAACUGCGAAGUUCUGAUGGGAUCUGGUGCAUUAGUGCUGGUAUGAACGCAUCUGUUACUACAUGCAAUGCAAUCGUAUGUAUUCUUUUUUGAAGAUUUUAUGAUUCAUUUACCGUGGGUCCCACCAGCUAUGUAGGAAUAACCUAUCUUAUUUAUAAAAGCUUUGAUACAUGCAAAAUAUUCGAAAACAAUGUCCGAACAUAUAAUGUUCGCCCCAAAAUAUAGCAAAGACCACAAAAAUGCCAUAAAAAGUACAUUAAGGUCAAAAUUUGGAGUAGGAAAAAAAUCAAUAGGAGAAUUCCAUUUUCCUUCCCUCAUUCAUCGGAGAGCUCUCUUUGGGCAUUCCAAAAAGGUAUCACAUGCCAAGUUUGGCCUCACGGUCUAAAAGUUAUAGAGUAUUACAUUUUUAACAAAAAAAAAAAGAGAAAAACCGAAAAAAAGAGGGAUGCAACACGAAGACUUUUCUGGAGGUCACCCAUCCUAGUACUACUCUCCCCCAAGCACGCUUAACUGUGGUGUUCUGAUAGGAUCAAGUGCAUUAGUGCUGGUAUGAUCGCAUCAGUUACUACAUGCAAUGCAAUCAUAUAUAUUCUUUUUUGAAGACUUUAUGAUCCAUUUGCCGUAGGUCCCACCAGCUAUGUAGGAAUACCCUAUCUUGUUUAUAAGAGCUUUGAUACAUGCAAAAUAUUCGAAAACAAUGUCCGAACAUAUAAUUUUUGUCCCGUAAUAUAGCAAAGAUCACGAAAAGGUCAGAAAAAAUAUAUUUCGGUCAAAAUUUGGAGUAGAAAAAAAGCCCUUCCUCAUUCAUUGGACAGCUCUCUUUGGGCUUUCCGAAAAGGUAUCACAUGCCAAGUUUGGCCUCACGGUCUAAACCUUAUAGACUCAUACAUUUUUCAUAAAAAAAAGAAGAGAAAAACAA